UACGAAGGGGGGCUAGCGUUGCUCGGGAAUCACUGGGCGUAAAGGGUGCGUAGGCGGGUCUUUUAAGUCAGGGGGUGAAAUCCUGGAGCUCAACUCCAGAACUGCCUUUGAUACUGAAGAGCUCGAGUCCGGGAGAGGUGAGUGGAACUGCGAGUGUAGAGGUGAAAUUCGUAGAUAUUCGCAAGAACACCAGUGGCGAAGGCGGCUCACUGGCCCGGUACUGACGCUGAGGUGCGAAAGCGUGGGGAGCAAACAGG
rnacentral:rRNA from 1 species